rnacentral:rRNA from 1 species
ACGCACGCUGGCGGCAUGCCUCACCCAUGCAAGUCGCACGAACCCUUCGGGGUUAGUGGCGCACGGGUGCGUCACGCGUGGGAAUCUGCCCUUUGCUUCGGAAUAACUCAGGGAAACUUGUGCUAAUACCGGAUGAUGUCUUCGGACCAAAGGUUUAUCGGCAAGGGAUGAGCCCGCGUAGGAUUAGGUAGUUGGUGGGGUAAAGGCCUACCAAGCCGACGAUCCUUAGCUGGUCUGAGAGGAUGAUCAGCCACACUGGGACUGAGACACGGCCCAGACUCCUACGGGAGGCAGCAGUGGGGAAUAUUGGACAAUGGGCGCAAGCCUGAUCCAGCAAUGCCGCGUGAGUGAUGAAGGCCCUCGGGUCGUAAAGCUCUUUUACCAGGGAUGAUAAUGACAGUACCUGGAGAAUAAGCUCCGGCUAACUCCGUG